rnacentral:misc_RNA from 1 species
UCAACCAUCAAGCUUGGCUUGUUAUUGGAUCUUUGUCAAUAAGGCAGGUCUCAAAGAUAAUACAGAGUUUUGAAGCCUUGAUGCAAGGAGCUUUAAGCACGCAUUAUAGGAGUCAAUGACUCUAGUGUUUAACUAAA